ACGUAGGGGGCAAGCGUUGUCCGGAAUCAUUGGGCGUAAAGCGCGUGUAGGCGGCUUGGUAAGUCUGGCGUGAAAUCUUGGGGCUCAACCCCAAGCCUGCGUUGGAUACUGCCUCGCUCGAGUCCGGGAGAGGAAAGCGGAAUUCCCAGUGUAGCGGUGAAAUGCGCAGAUAUUGGGAAGAACACCGGUGGCGAAGGCGGCUUUCUGGAACGGUACUGACGCUGAGACGCGAAAGCGUGGGGAGCAAACAGG
rnacentral:rRNA from 1 species